rnacentral:rRNA from 1 species
AGAGUUUGAUCCUGGCUCAGGAUGAACGCUAGCUACAGGCUUAACACAUGCAAGUCGAGGGGCAGCAUGGAGUCAGCUUGCUGACUCUGAUGGCGACCGGCGCACGGGUGAGUAACGCGUAUCCAACCUUCCCUAUAGUAGGGGAUAGCCCGGCGAAAGUCGGAUUAAUACCCUAUGUUUUCCGAUGCAGGCAUCUAAAAGGGAACAAAGGCUUGCCGCUAUAGGAUGGGGAUGCGUCUGAUUAGCUUGAUGGCGGGGUAACGGCCCACCAUGGCAUCGAUCGGUAGGGGUUCUGAGAGGAAGGUCCCCCACAUUGGAACUGAGACACGGUCCAAACUCCUACGGGAGGCAGCAGUGAGGAAUAUUGGUCAAUGGGCGAGAGCCUGAACCAGCCAAGUAGCGUGAGGGAUGACUGCCCUAUGGGUUGUAAACCUCUUUUGUAUGGGAAUAAAGUCCACUACGUGUAGUGGUUUGUAUGUACCUUACGAAUAAGCAUCGGCUAAUUCCGUGCCAGCAGCCGCGGUAAUACGGAAGAUGCGAGCGUUAUCCGGAUUUAUUGGGUUUAAAGGGAGCGUAGGCGGGCCUUUAAGUCAGCGGUUAAAUGUCAGUGCCCAACGUUGGCAUGCCGUUGAUACUGGAGGUCUUGAAUACACACAAGGAUGGUGGAAUUCGUCGUGUAGCGGUGAAAUGCUUAGAUAUGACGAAGAACUCCGAUUGCGAAGGCAGCCAUCUGGGGUGCGAUUGACGCUGAGGCUCGAAAGUGCGGGUAUCAAACAGGACUAGAUACCCUGGUAGUCCGCACGGUAAACGAUGGAUGCCCGCUGUAUGCGAUAGACAGUAUGCGGCCAAGCGAAAGCGUUAAGCAUCCCACCUGGGGAGUACGCCGGCAACGGUGAAACUCAAAGGAAUUGACGGGGGCCCGCACAAGCGGAGGAACAUGUGGUUUAAUUCGAUGAUACGCGAGGAACCUUACCCGGGCUUGAACUGCAGGAGAAGUAUACAGAGAUGUUGACGUCCUUCGGGACUCCUGUGGAGGUGCUACAUGGUUGUCGUCAGCUCGUGCCGUGAGGUGUCGGCUUAAGUGCCAUAACGAGCGCAACCCCUCUCGUCAGUUGCCAUCAGGUAGUGCUGGGCACUCUGGCGACACUGCCACCGUAAGGUGCGAGGAAGGUGGGGAUGACGUCAAAUCAGCACGGCCCUUACGUCCGGGGCUACACACGUGUUACAAUGGGUGGUACAGAGAGUAGGGUGCCGGCAACGUCGCCCCAAUCAACAAAGCCAUCCUCAGUUCGGAUUGGGGUCUGCAACCCGACCCCAUGAAGCUGGAUUCGCUAGUAAUCGCGCAUCAGCCAUGGCGCGGUGAAUACGUUCCCGGGCCUUGCACACACCGCCCGUCA